AUUGAACGCUGGCGGCAGGCCUAACACAUGCAAGUCGAACGAGUGGCGGACGGGUGAGUAAUUUCUGGGAAACUGCCCGAUGGAGGGGGAUAACUACUGGAAACGGUAGCUAAUACCGCAUACCAUCGGAUGUGCCCAGAUGGGAUUAGCUUGUAGGUGAGGUAACGGCUCACCUAGGCGACGAUCCCUGGCUGGUCUGAGAGGAUGACCAGCAAAACAGGAACUGGGAGACGGUCCAGACGCCUACGGGAGGCAGAAGUGGGGAAUAUGGCACAAUGGGAGCAAGCCUGAUGCAUCCAUGCAGCGUGUAUGAAGAAGGCCUGAGUGUUGUAAUGUACUUUCAGCGGGGAGGCGUUACCCGCAGAAGAAGCACCGGCUAACUCCGUGCCAGCAGCCGCGGUAAUUC
rnacentral:rRNA from 1 species